CUACGGGAGGCAGCAGUGGGGAAUUUUGGACAAUGGGCGAAAGCCUGAUCCAGCAAUGCCGCGUGAGUGAAGAAGGCCUUCGGGUUGUAAAGCUCUUUUGUCAGGGAAGAAACGGUGAGAGCUAAUAUCUCUUGCUAAUGACGGUACCUGAAGAAUAAGCACCGGCUAACUACGUGCCAGCAGCCGCGGUAAUACGUAGGGUGCAAGCGUUAAUCGGAAUUACUGGGCGUAAAGCGUGCGCAGGCGGUUUUGUAAGUCUGAUGUGAAAUCCCCGGGCUCAACCUGGGAAUUGCAUUGGAGACUGCAAGGCUAGAAUCUGGCAGAGGGGGGUAGAAUUCCACGUGUAGCAGUGAAAUGCGUAGAUAUGUGGAGGAACACCGAUGGCGAAGGCAGCCCCCUGGGUCAAGAUUGACGCUCAUGCACGAAAGCGUGGGGAGCAAACAGGAUUAGAUACCCUGGU
rnacentral:rRNA from 1 species